GAUCAUGGCUCAGAACGUACGCUGGCGGCACGCCUAACACAUGCAAGUCGAACGAAGUAGCAAUACUUAGUGGCAGACGGGUGAGUAACAUGUAGGUAUCUGCCCUUUGGCCUGGAAUAACACGAGGAAACUUGUGCUAAUACCGGAUAAGUCUUUACGGAGAAAGCUUUAUGCACCAUUGGAUGAGCCUGCACUUGAUUAGUUUGUUGGUGGGGUAAUGGCCUACCAAGACUGUGAUCAAUAGCUGAUUUGAGAGGAUGAUCAGCCACAUUGGGACUGAGACACGGCCCAAACUCCUACGGGAGGCAGCAGUGGGGAAUCUUGCACAAUGGAGGAAACUCUGAUGCAGCGAUGCCGCGUGAGUGAAGAAGGCCCUUGGGUUGUAAAGCUCUUUCGUCGGGGAAGAAAAUGACUGUACCCGAAUAAGAAGGUCCGGCUAACUUCGUGCCAGCAGCCGCGGUAAUACGAAGGGACCUAGCGUAGUUCGGAAUUACUGGGCUUAAAGAGUUCGUAGGUGGUUGAAAAAGUUAGUGGUGAAAUCCCAGAGCUUAACUCUGGAACUGCCAUUAAAACUUUUCAGCUAGAGUAUGAUAGAGGAAAGCAGAAUUUCUAGUGUAGAGGUGAAAUUCGUAGAUAUUAGAAAGAAUACCAAUUGCGAAGGCAGCUUUCUGGAUCAUUGCUGACACUGAGGAACGAAAGCAUGGGUAGCGAAGAGGAUUAGAUACCCCUCGUAGUCCAUGCCGUAAACGAUGUGUGUUAGACGUUGGAAAUUUAUUUUCAGUGUCGCAGGGAAACCGAUAAACACACCGCCUGGGGAGUACGACCGCAAGGUUAAAACUCAAAUGAAUUGACGGGGACCCGCCACAAGUAGUGGAGCAUGUGGUUUAAUUCGAAGAUACGCGCAGAACCUUACCAACACUUGACAUGUUCGUCGCGACUCUAAGAGAUUAGAGUUUUCGGUUCGGCCGGACGAAACACAGGUGCUGCAUGGCUGUCGUCAGCUCGUGUCGUGAGAUGUUGGGUUAAGUCCCGCAACGAGCGCAACCCUCACUUUUAGUUGCCAUCAUUAAGUUGGGCACUCUGAAAGAACUGCCAGUGAUAAGCUGGAGGAAGGUGGGGAUGACGUCAAGUCCUCAUGGCCCUUACGUGUUGGGCUACACACGUGCUACAAUGGUAUCUACAACAGGAAGCAAGACUGCGAAGUUAAGCAAAUCCCUAAAAGAUACCUCAGUUCGGAUUGCACUCUGCAACUCGAGUGCAUGAAGCUGGAAUUACUAGUAAUCGUGGAUCAGCGUGCCACGGUGAAUGSCGUUCCCGGGUCUUGUACACACCGGCCGUCACACCAUGGGAGUUGGUUCUACCUUAAGGCAAGGUUUCAAACCCUUGACCACGGUAUAGUCAGCGACUGGGGUGAAGUCGUAACAAGGUA
rnacentral:rRNA from 1 species